rnacentral:misc_RNA from 1 species
AGCUUGCAAUGUGAAGAUAGUUGAUCACCCUUAGCUUGUUAGUUAGACAGACAACUAAUUAAUUGUAAAAUUUAUAGGAUCCUAGGUUCGUUUUUAUUUUUUUUCCUUAUUUAUUUUUUUUCCCUCCAGAUUUUAGAUUUUGAUAGAGGGAUGUUUUUAUAUGGGUUUGCUUUAUUGUUUGUGGUUGGAGUGGAGAGCUUGGAGCCAGAUGCAUUUCUCUAAUUCAGCAUUCUGGAGGAGUGAGGGGGAGAUGUGGUUUACAAACUUUAUAAGUCGAGAAGAGUGAAAUAUUUUCAUGUAUAGAAAGAAUAUUUGUCAAUGUCAUUUUG